rnacentral:lncRNA from 1 species
UCGCAGCCCUGCAGCAGUGGCCCGGUGUGUCUGUUCCUCACUGGACUUGUGUUGCUCACGCGGGAGUCCCCGUCACGACUGCCUGGGCAGUGAUCCUCAAGUUGUCUGCCAAGACUACAUAACAGCUGACAGCUGCCUGUGGAAUGAAAGCAAAGGCCAACUUCUCCAAGCCGUCAUUUUGGUGCAGCGUGGCACAGACCAGGCUGGCAGGGCCACAGCCGCGUCCACCUCGAGCCCCGUCCCCACGAGAGGCAGCAGUGCAGCUGGAGCUGGGCUCGGAUGCUCCCAGGGAGAGAGAGGAGCAUGGACUGACCAGGCACAUCCCCGUCCCGCACACUCCUCUCGGACAUGGUACGUGCAGCUGAGCCGUAGCACCUCACAGACCCCGUCCCUCUUGCCGCCAGAUGGCAGGGCCAGCUUUGCGAUGGCGAGGGGGCGCGGUGACGCCCGCCAGCCAGUGCUGACAUUGCUUCUGUCCCCAUAA